rnacentral:lncRNA from 8 species
UUGAUUUGGUGUUCAGCAGCAUAAGUGUCUGACCACUGAAGAGAACGCAAGUUCUACAGCUACAGCAGGUCAAUCCACCAAUAUAUGUCAUGCACCAUGGGCAGAUGUAUCGAAGUUUGCAAGCUGGUCUUAUGGGUUGCAGUUUGUGUGACCUUCAUCGUCUUGGGUGCCGUGUACAUUGAUGACUGCCCAGUGAAACGUAUCAUACCUAUCCACAUGAUCAUUUCUGGAUCUUUCGGUCUCCUCUAUGUAUUCUUCUCCUGCUACAAGGACCGUGUUGUGUGCCAACAUUUGUCUAAACUAUUUUGGUUCAUGAUCAUCAUCUGGCUCAUUAUUGGCCAUUUUUGGACCUUCUCUGUAUUCCAACCCAACUACGAACGGAAAGAGAUCAUCGGCAACACGGUAUACUGCAACAAAUCUCUAUACCUCUUUGUGGCCUCUACCACCAUCAUAUUGGACAUUAUUAUAUGUGUGUGGCUGCUUGUGUUGUUCGAUGUAUGUAAAUGCUUCAUACUUUGUCUGUUCUGCUGUGUCUCUUUAUGCAUGUCUGACGAUGUCAAACCUGUGGAGGUUGUUGAGCCUUUGAGGGUUGUGGAGACUGAGGACUGUGUUGAACCUAAGGAGUGUGUGGGGACUGACGGAAGUGUGGGGACUGAAGUGUGUGUGGGGACUGAAGUGUGUGCGGGGACUGAAGUGUGUGCGGGGACUGAAGUGUGUGUGGGGACUGAGGUGUGUGUGGGGACUGAGGUAUGUGUGGAGACUCAGGAGAGAGUGGGGCAUGACGAGAGUGUGGGACAUGAAGAGAGUGUGAGUCCAACACUGCUCAAUAUUAAUGCAAUUCACUAUUCACAAUACCAAUAG